rnacentral:rRNA from 1 species
UACAGAGGGUGCGAGCGUUGUCCGGAAUCACUGGGCGUAAAGGGCGCGUAGGUGGGUCGUUAAGUCGGGGGUGAAAUCCUGGAGCUCAACUCCAGAACUGCCUUCGAUACUGCCGUGCUCGAGGACUGGAGAGGAGACUGGAAUUCAUGGUGUAGCAGUGAAAUGCGUAGAGAUCAUGAGGAAGACCAGUGGCGAAGGCGGGUCUCUGGACAGUUCCGUGACACUGAGGCACGAAGGCCAGGGGAGCAAACGGG